rnacentral:rRNA from 1 species
UUGAUCCUGGCUCAGAAUCAACGCUGGCGGCAUGCCUAACACAUGCAAGUCGAACGCGAAAGUUCCUUCGGGAAUGAGUAGAGUGGCGUCCGGGUGAGUUACGCGUGGGUAAUCUGCCUUUGGGUGGGGAAUAACCCAGGGAAACUUGGUCUAAUACCGCAUAAUGCAGCGGCUCGACAUCGAGACAGUUGUUAAAGCCUCUCGCAAGAGGGGCGCCUAAAGAGGAGCCUGCGUCUGAUUAGCUAGUUGUUGGGGUAAUGGCCUACCAAGGCUACGAUCAGUAGCUGGUCUGAGAGGACUGCCAGCCACAAUGGCACUGAAACACGGGCCAUACUCCUACGGGAGGCAGUAGUGGGGAAUUUUGCGCAAUGGGCGAAAGCCUGACGCAGCAAUGCCGCGUGAAGGAUGAAAUCCCUCGGGAUGUAAACUUCGUAAGUGUGGGAAGAACAUAAUGACGGUACCACACGUAAGCCCCGGCUAACUCCGUGCCAGCAGCCGCUGUAAUU